rnacentral:misc_RNA from 1 species
AAGUCGUAACAAGGUAUCCGUAGGUGAACCUGCGGAUGGAUCAUUAACAGUAUUUCUAUAAUACAUCAACACAUGUGAACCGUAUGGGAGCUUACCCUCUCAUUUUAUUAUUAUUUUAGACUGAAUUUUUAUAGUAUAUAUAACAUCAUAAAACUUUUAGCAAUGGAUCUCUGGGCUCUC